UACGGAGGGUGCAAACGUUGCUCGGAAUUAUUGGGCGUAAAGCGCACGUAGGCGGUACGCUAUGUCGGGUGUGAAAUCCCUCGGCUUAACCGAGGAAGUGCAUUCGAAACUGGCGCGCUGGAGUACUGAAGAGGGUCGCGGAAUUCCCGGUGUAGAGGUGAAAUUCGUAGAUAUCGUGUGGAACGCCAAUGGUGAAAACAGGUUGCUGGGAGUGUGCUGACGCUGAGACACGAAAGCCAGGGGAGCAAACGGG
rnacentral:rRNA from 1 species